UGCGGGAUAGAGCAGUGGCAGCUCGUCAGGCUCAUAACCUGAAGGUCGUAGGUUCGAAUCCUACUCCCGCUACCU
rnacentral:tRNA from 1 species